rnacentral:rRNA from 1 species
UACGAAGGGGGCUAGCGUUGCUCGGAAUUACUGGGCGUAAAGGGCGCGUAGGCGGAUAGUUUAGUCAGAGGUGAAAGCCCAGGGCUCAACCUUGGAAUUGCCUUUGAUACUGGCUGUCUUGAGUACGGGAGAGGUGAGUGGAACUCCGAGUGUAGAGGUGAAAUUCGUAGAUAUUCGGAAGAACACCAGUGGCGAAGGCGACUCACUGGCCCGCUACUGACGCUGAGGCGCGAAAGCGUGGGGAGCAAACAGG